CCUCAGCCCGCUGUUCAAGAACCUCAGCUGGGUGGCGCUCAUCAUCGGU
rnacentral:snoRNA from 1 species